AUGAAGUAUGAAAGGAAAAUCCUGGGCAAUAGUCAUUGUUUUCGUAGAUAUGGUCUUUAAGCACUUGAACCCACUUGGAUCUCGACGAGACAGAUAGAAGUAGGAUGAAGGGCAAUAACACGGGAAGCACAUCGUGAUGGAAAAAUAUGGGUACAUGUAUUUCCCCAGAAACCGGAUACACUACGAUCCACAGAAACACAUAUGGACUUUGGGAAGGGGUCCCUCGAAUAUUAGGUAGCCGUUGUUAAACCAGGCCGUGUACUUUAUAAAAUGGGAGUAUCUGAAACUGUAGCUAGAGCAUCUAUCUCUAUAGCUGCCAGUAAAAUGCCCAUACAAAGUUAAUUUAUUCGAUUAGAGAUACGAAUCCCACGAGACUAG
rnacentral:rRNA from 1 species